GCUAAGCAUGAAGGACACACUCAUCUGCAGCAGAAGCUCUGCACUGCCUGGGCUGUCUGUCCAUCACAGCCUCUGCAGUGAGAAAUGCAUGAUGUGCACUCUUAUUGCUGGGAUUGCUUUGACUUUGGUGUUCCUAAACUUUGAGAGAAGGUCCCGAGGUUAGAGAGACAGACUAGAGUAGGAAUGCAACAUCAGUGUGUAUAAUGGUCUUCAAAGGGAACCGAGUUACAAAAAAUGCUUCAGCUCUAUGCAGAGGCCUGAUGGAGGAAGACAUUCAGAAGGCAGUUUGGUUCAAGAAUCUAUAAAACUGGAAGCAGAAGAGAGUAAUUCAAGGACCUAAACCAAGGAGAACACUGUUUGCUGAGUCUUUUUGCCCACCCUGCUUUGAGAAAAAAGAACUAUUGAGAUCCAACAGCUCCUGUACCAGGACUCCAAGAAAGGGACAUUCUGAUGGUCGAGUGAAGUGGAGGCUGAUAGGUGAACAGAAUGAAGAGGGUGGGGUUUAUCCUGAGUCAAGGCAUGCUGGCUUGACCCUUAGCUUUUUCAACUACUUGUUACAGACAGAUCCAGAUGCACGCUCCAUGCUCAAGGAAGGGCUAAGACAAUUUUGUGCAAGGAACUUGAGGAAGAAUUAGACACAGGUCUUGUAGGAGAAGUAGGUAAACAAAGCAAGCAGCCCGGCAAACAGCAUCACAAAACCCAGUGUUUCUGUCUUUAGCUACUUCUGGCCGAUUUAGCAGGACGUCAUCUGCCCUGUGCACAAGGAAAAUGAAAUUGCGUGCACAAGGCCCUGGUUACCGUGAAGAAGUGGGAAACUGGAGGAAUUCAAUCUUUGGCUUAGAGAAAUCUAAUUCUCUCAAGGUAUAUUGCAGUCUGCAAGGCAGUUAUCUUUCCCAGCGGCUAGAUGCAACCUGGAAAUGCAGCUCCUAAUAGCCUUGGUGAGAUUAAGUGAAGUGUCUGUGAUUGUGGACUGGUCCAAGCAGGUCAUAGAGGAUUUGUUGCCCUUGCUUUCCCUGCCCAUCCCCCACCCCAGUCCCUCUCAGACUGGAGAGCCCAUUGUUCUUACAUUCUAUGCUUAUCCCAUGUUUUUCACUCUUCCCCACUGCCCCCAAUCCACGGGCACUCUCUACAGGAAGAAGGAAAUAUGAGCGCCUUGACAGCUCUGGAGGAUAAAUUUAAUAGAAAUGGAUGGAGGCGGCCCAAGAAAGUCAUGUUCUAUUAUUCUUGCUGUGAGAAAGGUUAUCAGGGCUCGAUGGAGCCACACUCUUGCUGAUGUAUUUUGUGACUGAGGAGUUUUGGUGUUUACUGGACUUGGAAGGGAAUCAGAAGAGAUGUUGAAAGAGAAGUUAAUCUAAACUGUAAUUGAUGUGCGGCCUGUCUCAGAAUGGUGUGAGGAUAGACGUUUAUACCUCUCUACUAUUAACGAAGACCCUUCUGAUAGGUGUAAUUUGUGAAUGAGUCCACUCUGUGUUCAAUGUGAUACCAAUGAUGUAUCACCCUUUCUGCUUGAUGCAUGCACUGAUAAGCAAGCAAAUGAACAGAAUGGACUCUGCAUAUUGUUUAAUGUUAACGACUUGCAAGACCCUGGAUUUCACACUCAACAUGAUGGAAAAAGUGAACAUAAAAGAUAGAGCACCCUGAAUAGCAUUUGCAUAAGCCAUUUUUUUUUCAGAUUACUUUUGCUGUUGCUGUUUCAAAAAAUUAGUGAUGUUUGGCACUGUCCUUGUCUGUAGUAAGUAAUGAUAAACUUCCAAUUAAUUUCUUUUUAAAAA